rnacentral:rRNA from 1 species
CCGUGCUAAGGUAGCAUAAUCAUUUGUUCUAUAAUUGAGAACUGGUAUAAAUGAGCUAACAACAUUAUAACUUUUUUAGUUAUUAAAUUAGAAUUUAAUAUCUGAGUCAAAAAGCUCAGCUUUCUAGAAAGACGAUAAGACCCUAUAAAACUACCACUCCAAAACUAAGUUUGGGGUUUAGAAUUUUAAUUUGGGGAAGAGUUAAGCUGGGGCGGCAACUAAUAAGCAUUAGAAAAUUUAACACUAAUUUGUGAUUAAGUAGAUCUUAAAUAGAGAUAGAACAAGUUACUUUAGGGAUAACAGUGAAAUGCCCUGUGUUUUUAUCCGGCACAGGGAGACUUUCCACCUCGAUGUUGAAUUGAGGGGCCAUGUUCAUACGUGAAUGUUGGAGGUCUGUUCGACCUUUAAAACCUCACACGAUUUGAGUU